AUAUAAAAAUAUGUAUGUAUAUGUUGUAUAUAUGUUUUGUAUAUGGAUGUGUACAUAUACCUGUGUGUGCGUGUGUGUAUGUGUAUAUAUAAAACAAAUGUGGGCACCAUAUCUCUUCCUUUUAAAUUUUAUUUAACAUUAGUAAAAAUCUUUUCUCAUUAUUAUUGAUUUUAUUCCUUUCUCUGUAUGAUUUCCAAUCAGUGCUAACUUGGAGUAACAUCAGAGUUUUUCUCUGAAAAUCUUAAUAAUUUAAAACGUGUUUUUGAAAAUAUUCUCAGUAUAAAACUGGUUAAAAUAAAUUAGUAUUCAGUGAACUGGGAAAUAGCAAUUGAUUGACUGCAUUUUAAAUCAAAUCAUAUUAUUUAAAGAGGUGUUCUUCCACCUAAGCAAAACAUAAUUGUUCCACUAUAUUUGCUGAUGAGUUCCUAGUUGGAUUUGAAUUUUGAAAUCUCAAGCUCAUAAUACCCUCAGAAUUGCCAAAGGGAAAUGUGUCUCAAAGACUUUUUUUUCAUUCAAACAUCUAUGGGAAAUAAAUAUGAUAGACUUUAGUUUUUAAAGAAAACAAGACCCAAAAGCCAGAAUAAAUUGCAUUGCAUUUCUGUAAGAUUCUCAAGGUUUCAGUCUUGUUUACAAAGACUUCUCAGUAGAAAUCAUACCAUACUAACAAAAAGCAAAAACUAGAUAAUCUUUUGAAGGAGACUCUUGAACUGAUUUUUUUUUCCAACCAGCUCAAAUUCAUUAUGUUAACUCUAAAUCUGAAAAGAGUUUGUAACACAUGCAGUAGGCUCCCAGGACUUUAAAAAAAAGAAAAAAACCAAAACAGAUUAUUUGAGGAUUGCACCAUGUCAUGCUCAUCUUUAUAUUCCUUAGAAUUGAGCAGAGUGUCCAUCCCAUGGUAGGCACUCACGAAAAUGUAUAAAAUAAAAUAAAUAAACAUAAAAUCAUCUCCUUAAGAUCCUUCACUUUAACAGAUAUGAAAACUGAAGGCCGGGCGCAGUGGCUCAAGCCUGUAAUCCCAGCACUUU
rnacentral:lncRNA from 1 species